UUGAGAGAUAACUUGUCUGUUUGGCAAUUUUUACAGGUUAAGAGGAAUUCCACAGAUAUAGUGGACUAUAGAAAAGAAGCUCGAAAUUUCUCUUUGCAAUUUGUUCAGAGAGGAUACCCUAGAGAGUGGUUGGUAAAGCUGAAUCUAGAGCAAAUGCAUCCAGGCGUAGUGAGCUACUUCAGGAUCAACCUAGGAAGCAAUUGGACCAGUUAGUAUGGUCCAUUGAUUACACUCCCUUAUCUUAUCAGAUUAAAAAGGUGAUUUAUAGGCAUUGGCAUUUGGUUAUAGAUAUACCAGGGUGCAGCAAUGUACCUAUUGUAGCAUUCAGGAAGACAAAAAGUUUAAGGAUUUUUUCGACCCAUUCUGAUUUUUUAAGGAAACCAUUAGAGAAGGAUGUUCUGCAAGGGUUUAACUGAUGUGGUAAUUGUUUAGCGUGUCCUUUGGGUCUUCAAAUCACUGAGUAUUGUGAUCCAAGUACAAGGAAGCUGGUUCCUUUAAAUUUUUUUGCCAAUUGCAAAAUAAAAUGUACUGUAUAGGCUGUCAUUUGUCCAUGUGCUCUAUGGUAUAUUGGGAUCAGUACUAGAACCAUUAAGACCUAUAUACUUGAACAUAGGUCUAGGAUUAAAAAUAGAGUACUGGAUGCCCCAUUAGUUCAGCAUUUUGUAGAUAAACCUCAUUCACCGGAUGACCUGAGGUUUUUUGUUUUAUUUAAAUAUUCUCCAUGUUCUUUUGAAAAGCAGAAUAUUCAAAGGAGUCUUCUCCAGAAAGAAGCUUGGUUCAUUUAUAAAUUCAGAACGUGCUCUCCUACAGGGUUAAAUGUUAAUUGUGAUUUUUUGAGUUUUCUGUAGACACAUGUGAUGCAUGACUGUUUGAGAGUAUAGUGCAUACUGAGAGUAUCCUUUCCACCUGUUGUUAAUUGGAUGAUUUAGCUGGGGUGUAUUUUAACCUUGAGUGCGUUUGGAAUUUAGUAAGGAGUCCAGCAUGCUCGUGCAGAUACUUGUUACAUAUGAUUUGGCAGAGCAAGGCUGUUCCGGAUAGAAGAUAUGACACACUUCUGAAGAAGAUUGUUUUCAAAACUGGCGAAGAUAUCCUAGGGGAUUCAGGGAUUCACAUAUCUCAAAUUUGUGAAGAAUGAAGAUUUGUUUUUGCCAUCUUUGACUUUGAAGUAUUUUUCAUGUUAUAUACUCCAGCUGAGAAGACUGGACUUUGAACAUAUUUACAUUUGCCCAUUGUUCCAUCUUUACCAUCAUUGUAUAUGCUGGUUCCAUGUAUGGUUUGGGAUUUGUUAUAUAAACUGCAUAUUUACAUA